UACGGAGGAUGCAAGCGUUAUCCGGAAUUAUUGGGCGUAAAGCGUCCGUAGGUGGCAUUUAAAGUCUGCCGUUAAAGCCCUAAGCUUAACUGUGGAAAAGCGGUGGAAACUGAGAAGCUAGAGGGCGGUAGAGGUGGAGGGAAUUCCCAGUGUAGCGGUGAAAUGCGUAGAGAUUGGGAAGAACACCGGUGGCGAAAGCGCUCUGCUGGGCUGCAACUGACAAUGAUGGACGAAAGCUAGGGGAGCGAAAGGG
rnacentral:rRNA from 1 species